CAUUAAUACAUGUUGAGCGCACUUUAAUGUGACUCUUUGUAUCACCAUUNNNACCACCCAACCCAGAGGUGCAUUGUGGCCUUUAACGAGGUUAGCAGUGUAUCAGUACGUAUCCCAAAGGCNAACUUUGAGUUACAUUACCCAUCAUUUACCCCCNAUUUACACUUAAUAAGUUUUAAGAAUGAAANACCAUACCUAUAUAACUUUCAGCAAUGGAUCUCUAGGCUCUCACGUCGAUGAAGAACACAGUGAAAUGUGAUACGUAAUGUGAAUUGCAGAAUUCAGUGAAUCAUCGAAUCUUUGAACGCACCUUGCACCUUUUGGUUAUUCCGAAAGGUACACCUGUUUGAAUGUCACGAAACCCCCCUCGGCUCUAAUGCUUUCUAAAAGGAUUUGAGACGGAUUCUGAGUGUUGGCGUGAUAACGCCUCGCUUUAAAUAGAUCAGCACUUUUGGAUGGUUUAAUAUUAGUUYRAAAGACGUACUUGAUGUUGUAUUUAUANNUUUCGUUGAGGCAGUCUUUGGUCGUUCCGACUAUCCGCUAAUAUGACGACUUGAAGAAUAGCUUCCUAACCCUANUGAAUUUAACCUUUAGACUUCAAAUCAGGUGGGACUACCCGCUGAACUUAA
rnacentral:rRNA from 1 species